rnacentral:misc_RNA from 1 species
UUUCCGUAGGUGAACCUGCGGAAGGAUCAUUAAAGUUAUAGUCCCCCGGCCCCUCCGGGCUGGGGUCUUCUAUACCACCCUUUGUUUAUUACACCUUUGUUGCUUUGGCAGGCCUGCCCUCGGGCUGCUGGCUCCGGCCGGCUCGUGCCUGCCAGAGGACCUAAACUCUGCUUGUAUAUGAAGUCUGAGUACUAUAUAAUAGUUAAAACUUUCAACAACGGAUCUCUUGGUUCUG